rnacentral:tRNA from 1 species
GAAGGUAUAGCUCAAGUGGUAGAGUGCAUGCUUAGCAUACAUAAGGUCCUAGGUUCAAUCCCCAGUAACUCCU